rnacentral:rRNA from 1 species
GACGAACGCUGGCGGCGUGCUUAACACAUGCAAGUCGAACGGAAAGGCCCUGCUUUUGUGGGGUGCUCGAGUGGCGAACGGGUGAGUAACACGUGAGUAACCUGCCCUUGACUUUGGGAUAACUUCAGGAAACUGGGGCUAAUACCGGAUAGGAGCUCCUGCUGCAUGGUGGGGGUUGGAAAGUUUCGGCGGUUGGGGAUGGACUGGCGGCUUAUCAGCUUGUUGGUGGGGUAGUGGCUUACCAAGGCUUUGACGGGUAGCCGGCCUGAGAGGGUGACCGGCCACAUUGGGACUGAGAUACGGCCCAGACGCCAACGGGAGGCAGCAGUGGGGAAUAUUGCACAAUGGGCGGAAGCCUGAUGCAGCAGCGCCGCGUGCGGGAUGACGGCCUUCGGGUUGUAAACCGCUUUCGCCUGUGACGAAGCGUGAGUGACGGUAAUGGGUAAAGAAGCACCGGCUAACUACGUG